UUGUAGGUUGAUAGACAAGUGGUGCCAAUGGGCACCACUCCAAAAAAAAAAUAAUGAUCAUAAACAUCAGGAACCCACAACUUAGGUUUUAGUUUCGGGUUGUCAUCUUUAAGGUUGUGUCUGAGCUUGACCUUUUCCCCAAAGCAAAAAGCCCAGAAAGCCAUGCAUGGCUCUGUGGACAGAAAAGUCACCCACUCCAUCACUUUGGUCCGGAAAUUUUUCAACAAUUAUUGGAUGGAUUACCAUACAGUUUUGCAACAAUGUUCAUGUUCCCCAGAGGACGAAACCUACUGACUUUUAUUGUAGCUUAUGAUCAUUACCUUUUUUUUUAAGCUGCACAAUUAUAAUGCUUUUAAUCAUAAGUUAAAAAAAACACACGCUACUCACUGUACAGUAUACUGUCUUUAUAUCGCAAUACAAGUUUGUUUGCUGUUAUUCAAGUGGCGA